AGGGGCUUGAAGGGCUUUCAGCUCGGUUUUAUCAUUGAGUGUAGUGGAGGACCGACUGCAGACUGGCUCCCUCUCCUCUCCUCUCCUCUCACUCGACUCUCUCAGCUCGACUUUGUCCCGUUAAGACCCGCAGGGCACGAUCAUGGAGGAAAUGGACUUUGAGCGGCGCCGGGAGCUCAGGAGACAGAAGCGGGAGGAGAUGCGCCUGGAGGCUGAACGGUUGGCGAGGAACGACGACGACGAAGAGGAGGCGGCCCGCGAGAGGAGGCGCAGGGCGCGCCAGGAGAGAAUGAGGAGCCGGGAGAGCGAGGAGCCCAGCAGCCAGCCCGACAGUCUGCUGCUGACCAACAGUCACAGUGUGACGGAGACGGUGUCUGUGAGCAGCUCGUACGGAGGCGGCGGCGGAGACGACGACGAGCAGGCCCUGCUGGACCGCAUGGCCAAACGCGAGGAGAGGCGGCAGAGGCGCAUGAAGGAGGCGCUGGAGAGGCAGAAGCUGGACGCCGCCGCCACGGAGGGCGGCGACGGCGGCGCCGUGGAGAAGAACAGCGCCGAGGAGGAGAGGCCCUCCUGGCGCAGGGGCCGCUACCGCGACUACGAGGCGGAGGAGGAGAAGACGACCAGCUACAGCUCCAGGAGGGAGGAAAAAGUGAGAGACGAGCCCAGAGAGGAGGAGGAGGAGGCUGCUCCCGAGGCCCCGGAGGAGGAAGAUGUGGGCCCGGAUGAUGCACAGGAGGAGAAAGUUGAAGUGGUGGAAGACAAACCGAGGAGCUCUUACUUCAGAGAACAGGCGUCAACCGAAGAGCCUGCAAUGCACAACAAGGACCUCGCUGGAGAGGAAGCAGUAGUCAGUGAGGGUUCGGUUCAGGCCAAGUCAGCGAAUUCUGAGGCUGAGGAGGCUGCAGUAGCAUCAGGGGAGGCUGAAGAGGUGAAUGAGAGGGGCGGGGCCAGAGAGGAGAGGGAGGAUCAGAGGAAACACAACGGAGGGCUGCACGAGGAGGCUGCGCCCAAACAGCACAGGAAACCCGAGAGGACCGUCAGCCGCGGCAGCCUGCGCUCGCCCGACGCGUCCGCCGCCGCCGACGACGACCAGGACGAGGCCGCCCGGCUGGAGGCGGAGCGCAAGCUGGAGGAGCUGAAGCGCCGCCGCGACGAUGCGGAGAGCGAGGAGUUCGAGAGGAUGAGGCAGAAGCAGCAGGAGGCCGAGGCGGAGCUGGAGGAGCUGAAGAGGAAGCGGGAGGAGAGGAGGAAGGUGCUGGAGGAGGAGGAGCGGCAGAAGAAGCAGGAGGAGGCGGAGCGGAAAGCUAGAGAGGAGGAGGAGAAGAGGAAGAUGAAGGAAGAGAUCGAGAGGAGGAGAGCCGAGGCGGCCGAGAAGAGGCAGAAGGUGGAGGACACUCUGGACGGAGAGGGCAAACCUUUCAAGUGCGUCAGCCCUCGAGGAUCCUCCCUGAAGAUCGGAGAGCGAGCGGAGUUCCUGAACAAGUCGGCACAAAAAAGCGCAGUGAAGACGUCUCACUCCCCUGUGGUGUCCAAGAUCGACAACAGGCUGGAGCAGUACACCUCAGCCGCUCAGAGGGAGAACAAGGACUCGCGAUCCCCGCGCUCCGGGGCGGUGGACCUGCCCGUGGUCACCGACAGCAUACGGAACAUCAAGAGCAUGUGGGAGAAGGGCAACGUGUUCGGCUCGCCCGGCGGCGGCGGCAGCACGUUCAAGGAAGCAGCUGUGAUGAAGACGGGCGUGGCGGGCCGCAUCAACGACUGGCUGAAUAAAACCCCCGAGAGCGGCAAGAUGCCCGGGGGACGGCCGACGGACCUGAAGCCGGUGGACGUCACCAACAAGAGGAGUCUAUGGGAAAACAAAGGCGCCUCCCCGACCAAGAACUCUCAUAGCUAGUUGAUCUCGCCGUUAAAUCUGGAAUAAGCCUGGAGAGGUGGCAGGCAGAGGAGAGACCAAAUCAGUCGCCAAUGGUAUGGGACACUAAUGUCCUUGAAGGAGCCACUAAAGCUGAGCUGGGGACCCCGACAAUCCAAGACUCUUCCUUUUGACUUCUUGUUUUUUGUUUUUGUUUUUUUUUUUCUUCGUCAUAACCAAAUAAUGACCCCAAGAAGAACCCGGUGGGAGGACAGGAGAGACGCCGUCCGAGCACCGCAGCAGGUUUUUAGGGUUGCCACCUACAGUGCCUUUGCACAAUAUUUGCUUUCUUUAAAAAAAAAAAAAAAAAAAGUAUACAAUGCUGUGAAAUUUGGAUACAUGAAAUUUACUAUGAUAAAUCCUACCAGGAGACGGAAACAAUUAAAACUCAGAUUUAUCUUUUUAUACAUGGUGCCUGUAACUGAGUAACUUUCCACAUUCCAAAGAGAAGGAUGUAAAAAAUCCCUUUCUCUCCCUCAUGCAGAUCAUUCUUCAUCUCUCUCUCUCUCUCUCUCUCUCUCUUUUUUUUUUAAUUUAUAUUUAAAGCAAAAGCUUCACACGUUGCUAUUUUAUUCAAUGUUCACCUGUUCAGGAUAGAAAUAUAAGCACUUCUAGAAUUUAGCUGAUUUCACUUUUAUUAUGUUUUUACCAAUAGUGCAGCGAUGGUCUGAGUAAUAUAUGUUAGCACAUGUGAUGUUUCGAUUAUGACCUUAUCAUACUGUAUCAUAUAUACCAUCUGUAUACUCAU